GCCAGGUGUGGUGGUGCACACCUGUAAUCCCAGCUACUCUGGAGGCUGAGGUGGGAGAAUCGCUUGAACCCGGGAGGUGGGGGUUGCAGUGAGUUGAGAUUGCGCCACUGCACUCCAGCCUGGGCCACAGAGCAAGACUCCGCCUCAA
rnacentral:SRP_RNA from 1 species